rnacentral:rRNA from 1 species
GACGAACGCUGGCGGCGUGCUUAACACAUGCAAGUCGAACGGAAAGGUCCCUUUGGGGGUCCUCGAGUUGCGAAAGGGUGAGUAACACGUGAGUAACCUGCCCUUGACUUCGGGAUAACUUCAGGAAACUGGGGCUAAUACCGGAUAGGAAUCCUUGCUGCCUGGUGGGGGUUGGAAAGCUUCGGUGGUUUUGGAUGGACUUGCGGCCCUACAGCUUGUACGUGGGGUAGUGGCUCACAAAGGCUAUGACGGGUAGCCGGCCCGAGAGGGCGACCGGCCCCAGUGGGACUGGGAUUCGGCCCAGACUCCUACGGGAGGCAGCAGUGGGGGAGGGUGCACAAUGGGCAUGGGCCAGAGGCAGCAACACCACUGGCGGGAUGACGGCCUUCGGGUUGGAAUCCGCUUGCAGCAGGGGCGAAGCUUGUGAUGACGGUACCUGCAGAAGAAGCACCGGCUAACUACGUG